GCCUCUAGGGGGUAAGGGCAUUGCCUGACGCCUUUUCUGGAUGGACACUCCCUUCUAAUGGUGAAUGGAAACUCCCUUUCUCAGCAGCCUCCUUGCAGUGUCCAUUCCAGUAGCUCAGUGUGAUUGCAGCGGCUGCCACCACCCACACAGGAAGCCUCCCAGAGCA
rnacentral:other from 1 species